rnacentral:rRNA from 1 species
GUUUCAUUNNAAUUUAUAAUAGAAUUUUAUUUUUUAGUUAAAAAGCUAAAAUAAAUUUAAAAGACGAGAAGACCCUAUAAAUCUUUAUUUUUUAUUUUAUUAUUUAUUUAUUAAAGAUAAAUUUUUAAAUUAGUAAGAAAAAAAUUUUAUUGGGGUGAUAUUAAAAUUUAAUUAACUUUUAAUUUUUAAUUUCAUUAAUUAAUGUUUAAAUGAUCCGUUAUUUAACGAUUAAAAAAUUAAGUUACUUUAGGGAUAACAGCGUAAUUUUUUUGGAGAGUUCAUAUCGAUAAAAAAGUUUGCGACCUCGAUGUUGGAUUAAGAUUCAUAUUUAAGUGCAGAAGUUUAAAUAUUAAGUCUGUUCGACUUUAAAAUCUUACAUGAUCUGAGUUCAAACCGGUGUAAGCCAGGUUGGUUUCUAUCUUUAAAUUAAUAAAAUAUUUUAGUACGAAAGGAAUAAAUAUUUUAAUUUUAAAUUAUUAUAAGUUAUGAAU